AAUAGAUACCCUGGUAGUCCACGCCGUAAACGAUGAGUGCUAAGUGUUAGAGGGUUUCCGCCCUUUAGUGCUGCAGCUAACGCAUUAAGCACUCCGCCUGGGGAGUACGGCCGCAAGGCUGAAACUCAAAGGAAUUGACGGGGGCCCGCACAAGCGGUGGAGCAUGUGGUUUAAUUCGAAGCAACGCGAAGAACCUUACCAGGUCUUGACAUCCUUUGCCAACCCUAGAGAUAGGGCGUUCCCCUUCGGGGGACAGAGUGACAGGUGGUGCAUGGUUGUCGUCAGCUCGUGUCGUGAGAUGUUGGGUUAAGUCCCGCAACGAGCGCAACCCUUGAUCUUAGUUGCCAGCAUUCAGUUGGGCACUCUAAGGUGACUGCCGGUGACAAACCGGAGGAAGGUGGGGAUGACGUCAAAUCAUCAUGCCCCUUAUGACCUGGGCUACACACGUGCUACAAUGGAUGGUACAAAGAGCUGCGAACCCGCGAGGGUAAGCGAAUCUCAUAAAGCCAUUCUCAGUUCGGA
rnacentral:rRNA from 1 species